rnacentral:rRNA from 1 species
GAUGAACGCUGGCGGCGUGCCUAAUACAUGCAAGUCGAGCGAACAGACGAGGAGCUUGCUCCUCUGACGUUAGCGGCGGACGGGUGAGUAACACGUGGAUAACCUACCUAUAAUACUGGGAUAACUUCGGGAAACCGGAGCUAAUACCGGAUAAUAUAUUGAACCGCAUGGUUCAAUAGUGAAAGACGGUUUUGCUGUCACUUAUAGAUGGAUCCGCGCCGCAUUAGCUAGUUGGUAAGGUAACGGCUUACCAAGGCAACGAUGCGUAGCCGACCUGAGAGGGUGAUAGGCCACACUGGAACUGAGACACGGUCCAGACUCCUACGGGAGGCAGCAGUAGGGAAUCUUCCGCAAUGGGCGAAAGCAUGACGGAGCAACGCCGCGUGAGUGAUGAAGGUCUUCGGAUCGUAAAACUCUGUUAUUAGGGAAGAACAAAUGUGUAAGUAACUAUGCACGUCUUGACGGUACCUAAUUAGAAAGCCACGGCUAACUACGUG